UACAGAGGUCUCAAGCGUUGUUCGGAUUCAUUGGGCGUAAAGGGCGUGUAGGCGGCUCGCUAAGUCGGGUGUGAAAUUUCGGAGCUUAACUCCGAAACUGCAUUCGAUACUGGCGUGCUUGAGGACUGGAGAGGAGACUGGAAUUCAUGGUGUAGCAGUGAAAUGCGUAGAGAUCAUGAGGAAGACCAGUGGCGAAGGCGGGUCUCUGGACAGUUCCUGACACUGAGACACGAAGGCCAGGGGAGCAAACGGG
rnacentral:rRNA from 1 species